AAGACAUUGCCCAAAAACCCCUACGAACUGCAAUGCACCUUCAGAGAUUCAAUUUAGAGAUGUUGUGUCCAGUGGGAAUGGGAUUUGUAUUCAAACGAUUUAUGUUCAGAGAUUCAAUUCAGAACGUGUCCAAUUUAGCAGUGCGUAGAUUCAAUUUAGCAGUGCGCUAACGGCACUCAAAGGAGCGUGUCCAGAUUCAAUUCGGAACGUGCCCUAACGGCUCUCAAAUUAUAGUGCAAUGGCCGUUAAAAAAAUAGUGACCGUUGAAAAAAACAGGAAUUCAGUUCUUAUAAAUGAACAGUUUACUUGAGAAGCAGGUCAAAUUUCUUGUUCUAUUUUCUUUUUGGUUUGAUUUGUCUCCCAUUGUAUGUUUUUGGCAUGGCCAUGCCUAUUUUUUAUUUUUAUUUUUCUGAAUUUUGGUUUUGAAUUUUUCUUUCUUGAAUUUUGGUAUUUCGUGUAUCUUCUUUUUUCUGUGGGUCGUCGUUUUUCAGUAUUCAGCAGCAAGAACACUACAUUCUGGAGUGGCUGAUUGGAGAUGUGGCCAGAAAAUAGGCAAAGCCAGAGGUGAUUCAAAUUUCAAUCAUGAUUGAUGUUGAGCGUUUGACUUGUAGUGUCUACAAAUGUUUGGAGGCUUGAAUGGGUAGCUGCUGAAGUCAAAUAAUGAAUGUAAUAUUUAAAAUUUCAGAAAAAGAUGUUACUAGAAAUCUUGAAUGGCUUGCUGAAUUAAUUACUGAAAUCAGUAUUUGUAAACAGAUUUGUUUUUUAAUGUGAAAUUUUUAUUUGGAAGGGAUUGAAUUGGCUCCCUUUCCAAGGCUGUGGAGAAUGGUCAUUGGCCAUGCCCAUUUUUUUCAGUCUAGUAGUGUCUAUUGGUUAAUUUUUUAUAUUUAUUUUUUACUGCAUGAAUGAGUUGCUGAAUCAACUACUGAAAUCAGUAUUUGUAAAUUGAUAUGUAAACAGAUUUGUUGUUUAAUGCCAAAUUUUUAUUUGGAAGGGGUUGAAUUGGCCCCCUUCCCAA